CACUAGUUGGAGUCGACAAGUUUGGAAACAAAUACUACGAGAGAUUGGAAGACACUCAAUUUGGUAUUCCUCUUUUCUAUUUUCAGAUUUCUGGCACGUAUAAUUUUCCACUUCUUAUGAACACUCUUACACUGUUAUUAAUUCGUAUGCAAAGUAUAUGUUGGUUAAGUGCUUUGCAAAUAUAUGCAGACAAAAUUAUAUUAAAGUUAAUAAAUGUGAAAUUUAUCAGAAACCAUAAGAUAUGAAUAAUUUAACAUUUUACCCAUGUCUUUUUAUUUAAUUUCAAAAUACCCAUUAAAAAACAAAUGAUCAUGACAUGGAAGAGUUGCAAUAGGGUAAAAUUUUGAAUAAUCUAUCCCUUAAUAAAUUAGGAAAAGUAUACCAAGAGACCAAUUACUUUUGGUGUUAGGAGGUCGCAAUCACUCUUGUCAAUCAGAUUUCAAAUUGGGUGGUUGUAAGAGUGUCAUUGACUGAAAGUUCAAAAUUUCUUUUCUCGAACUUUGUAACACACCCCAAGCCAUCCAGUUUGACAUGUAAUGGUUAGGAAUAAUUGUGACCUCCUUGUAACAUAGAUAAAUGGUUUCAUAGUAUACAAUCGCAAUAAAUUACCUUGAUUUUGUUUGAUUGCCAAAAAGGAUCAAGGCUUGUAAAGUUUUCUAAAGUAUGAGUACUUUACAAGCUUUGAAAAGUUUGAUUUUCUAUGCAAUGGAUAUCCAUAAUUACUUGUAUUUUUAUAAGCUUUCCACGAAAAGGGAAAAAAAAGAAGUAAAAAAGGACCUCUGAAUACUAGAAAUGCUAGUUCUCUCAGAAGGAGGUAUUGCUGCAAAGAGUUUGACAGUGAGGAAGGUGACUAGAAACCCCACCCCCCCCCCCCCCCAUCUAUCUCUCAUAUCACCCUAAUAGCAGUCUCAGAUAUCUGGUGCAUGUUCGAUUCAGAAUCUGAGAUUGCAGGUAAGCUGAACAAACCAUCUCUGUUACAUCACAGGAAUGGAGAUGGUUUCGUUUAAUGAUGAAUAUGAAAAGAGAGGGGUUCUCUGGGACAUUCUUUUUCCCCCUUUGUUAGUGUAACAAGAUUAUCAUUUUCCUUGAAAAAGAGAAAAGGCGGACAUUGUCCCCUCAAAUUCAUGAAACUUGGGUUCUUUGGAUUUCUGAAGCCACCAACACUUCCUUACUUUUGGUAGCUUUUUUAGCUUGUAUUGUUCGACUACGUUAUCAACUAAGGUAAAGCAUGAAAAAUUCUUUACUUAUUGAAAACCAGAACAAGACAUAGGUGGGUUGAAUAUGGGGACAAAGGUCGCUACAAUGCUUCUCAGGUUCCCCCAGAAUGGCAUGGUUGGCUCCAUUUCAUUACUGAUCACACUGGUGAUGAAAUGAGUCAAAUAAUUAGUUAAUCAAUAAUACAUUGCCUUCUCAGGAAAGUAUACCAUAAUGAAAAGAUUUUGGAAAACGGCAGUCCAUUGGGUCAUUGCCAUCGAUUGAAAUGAUUGAUGAUGAUGGGGAGAGAGUGGGACAUGCCAUUAUUCAUGUACUGUUGUGGUGGGUCCCAUUCUCUCUGCUGUUCAUCAUUUAAUUGGGAUGGUGAUAACUCUAACAGGAUAUGAAUCUACCAUUAUCUUUUGUUUACAAUAUACUUCCUUGCUCUUGGUAUAUUAGAUUGAAAACCAUAAAGAUGAAGGUCGAUACUGCCUGCCCUAAGGAUCCCAUCUGUUAUUGGGAGUGGAUAUUGGAUGACCUUGACUACCAGUGGUGUACCAUGUGCCAUACACCAGUUGGCACUUUGUACAAACUUUUAUGGUUCUUCUAUGUACAAUUUUGAACAUUUCAGUGUAGAAAUAGCUAUUAUUUGCAUUCAUAUACCCCUUAGGCCAUCUUUUCCUUGAAUUAUUU
rnacentral:lncRNA from 1 species